rnacentral:rRNA from 1 species
AACGAACGCUGGCGGCAGGCUUAACACAUGCAAGUCGAACGCCCCGCAAGGGGAGUGGCAGACGGGUGAGUAACGCGUGGGAAUCUACCCAGAACUUCGGAACAACUGAGGGAAACUUCAGCUAAUACCGGAUACGCCCUACGGGGGAAAGAUUUAUCGGUUUUGGAUGAGCCCGCGUUGGAUUGGCUAGUUGGUGGGGUAAUGGCCUACCAAGGCGACGAUCCAUAGCUGGUCUGAGAGGAUGAUCAGCCACACUGGGACUGAGACACGGCCCAGACUCCUACGGGAGGCAGCAGUGGGGAAUAUUGGACAAUAGGCGAAAGCCUGAUCCAGCCAUGCCGCGUGAGUGAUGAAGGCCUUAGGGUUGUAAAGCUCUUUCAGUAGGGAAGAUAAUGACGGUACCUACAGAAGAAGCCCCGGCUAACUUCGUGCCAGCCGCCGCGGUAAAAC